rnacentral:rRNA from 1 species
UGGGGAAUUUUGGACAAUGGGCGAAAGCCUGAUCCAGCAAUGCCGCGUGUGUGAAGAAGGCCUUCGGGUUGUAAAGCACUUUUGUCCGGAAAGAAAUCCUUGGCUCUAAUACAGUCGGGGGAUGACGGUACCGGAAGAAUAAGCACCGGCUAACUACGUGCCAGCAGCCGCGGUAAUACGUAGGGUGCAAGCGUUAAUCGGAAUUACUGGGCGUAAAGCGUGCGCAGGCGGUUUGCUAAGACCGACGUGAAAUCCCCGGGCUCAACCUGGGAACUGCAUUGGUGACUGGCAGGCUAGAGUAUGGCAGAGGGGGGUAGAAUUCCACGUGUAGCAGUGAAAUGCGUAGAGAUGUGGAGGAAUACCGAUGGCGAAGGCAGCCCCCUGGGCAAUACUGACGCUCAUGCACGAAAGCGUGGGGAGCAAACAGGAUUAGAUACCCUGGUAGUCCACGCCCUAAACGAUGUCAACUAGUUGUUGGGGAUUCAUUUCCUAGUAACGUAGCUAACGCGUGAAGUUGACCGCCUGGGGAGUACGGUCGCAAGAUUAAAACUCAAAUGAAUUGACGGGGUCAUAGCUGUUUCCU